ACAUAUGGAUACGAAUAUCAAAAUAAAAUGGAAUAUGAAAAAGGCUUGCUCUCGGCCUUUACUGUUACGUACAGAGCAAAGAGAGUCUGUUAAAAUAAUAAUUCACUUUACUUAUAACUAGAUAACAAAUACAACGAAAUAACAAUUUCUGUUAAAACCGUAACUAACAGAAUGAAAUGGACUAGCCCUUUAAUUAAUGGAAAUGUAAAUAUCACAGUUGCGUAUGUAUAUAUACAUGUGUGUAAAUAGCGUAUUCAUUAGCACGUUUUAUAUAUGGGUUGUAGUGUUAAGACGGUGGUUAAACGAAUUGAGCAAGCUCAUUAUAUUUUUCUUCUCUUCUCUCAUCCACGGUGUGAUCCUAUUAUUGUUUUCUUGAAAAAUUCAGGAGUGUCGAGGCGGGCUGAAGCGUUGUCAUUGUUUUCAUUUAUUAUUGCAACAGGAGAAAGGUCAUUCUCAUGUUCGGCUAACCCUUGAAUAAACUUUUCUUGAAGCUUGAAACCAUACGCACAUAGUGGUUCAAUGCCAGAUUUAUCAUAAAUGAUUUUCCUCUCAAAUAUUUCCAACUCCUUUGCCACAGUAGGGGAAAUUGUGAACCAGAUUUGGAAACCAUAGGCGAGUACCGGUCUUAUAGCCACCUUAUACAACAGUAACUUUGUAGACUGAGAACUUCUCUGGCAUGCAAGUUGAACUUCAACAUCUUGUCAAAUGUCACUCCGAGGUAUUUUAUUCUGGACUCAACAGGAAUCGUGACACUAUUAAGGGGUUCGUGAAAUGGAAAUUAUCAUGAUUAUGCAACGCAUUGAACUCAUCACUAAAUGUAUAAAUAUGGAGAGGAGUAACAUUUAUACAAUUAUCUAUUCUCAGCUGCAAAUCAGCAACUGGAUUAUGAGGUAGUCUUUGGCGAAAUGUCUCUGAGUAGAAUUCUUGGAAGUGGCGUGUGAUAUCGGAACUAUUGGUGAGUAUGUUGUCGUUCUGGAUGAUUUGUUGGCAGAACGGUGAUUUAACUUUACCAGUUAUUUGAUAGAUUUGUUUAAAAGCGGAUGGACCAGGUUUAAUAUUCUGCAACCUUUUAUUGAAAUGAUUCGCUUGCUCAAUGUUGACUGAUUCUUUGAUAAUAAUUUUUAUCAGUUGUAUCUGCUUAGACAAUACAGUAUAUUCACUACUUAUUCGGUUUCCCGUGCGGUGGAAUAUUUUUUUAAGCUCUUUCUGCCAACGCUGUUUAAUUUUAUAUAAUUUCCUUGUUUUAUCCGAAAGGGGGAAUUUAUUUUCUUGAAAAGUACUUUGCUUUGAGUGGGCAUUAUGAAUAGAGUGAAAAGAUGUUUUGAAAUCAUUUAUCAAAAUAUCGAUUUCGUCAUU